UACAGAGGGGGCUAGCGUUGUUCGGAAUUACUGGGCGUAAAGGGCGCGUAGGUGGCCUGCUAAGUCGAACGUGAAAUCCCCGGGCUCAACCCGGGAACUGCGUCCGAGACUGGCAGGCUUGAAUCCGGGAGAGGGAUGUGGAAUUCCAGGUGUAGCGGUGAAAUGCGUAGAUAUCUGGAGGAACACCGGUGGCGAAGGCGGCAUCCUGGACCGGUAUUGACGCUGAGGCGCGAAAGCCAGGGGAGCAAAGCGGG
rnacentral:rRNA from 1 species